rnacentral:sRNA from 1 species
UUUUCUAAACAAUUAAACAAAAAGGAACAGAGGCAGUAUUAGAAACCCUCUAACCCAACAAAAAAUGUAAU